UACGGAGGGUGCGAGCGUUGUCCGGAAUCACUGGGCGUAAAGGGCGCGUAGGCGGCGCGAGCAGUCGGCGGUGAAAGCCCGGAGCUCAACUCCGGGUCGGCCGUCGAUACUCUCGUGCUUGAGCACUGUAGAGGCAGGUGGAAUUCCGGGUGUAGCGGUGGAAUGCGUAGAGAUCCGGAAGAACACCGGUGGCGAAGGCGGCUUGCUGGGCAGUAGCUGACGCUGAUGCGCGACAGCGUGGGGAGCAAACAGG
rnacentral:rRNA from 1 species